rnacentral:lncRNA from 1 species
AAUUUGUAACUUCUGGGCAACAUUUGGAAACUGAUGUCAGACUUCCUAAACUGUACUACGAUAUUGUAAAGACAGGGCUAGCGCCUAAGCAGAAGGACCGCUCUAUGAGUCUUCAGGAUAUUCGCUAUGUAUUGAAGAAUGACUUAAAGGACUUGAUUGAGUCUCGAAUGGGUCGCUUUGAUGAAAGCUCAGAUGCACAAAGACAUGAUGUAGUUCCAGAUAUAAACAUGUGUUUGGGGGCAGCAUGUAAUUACAAGAAGGAAAUGCUGCACCUUCAAGGAGAGAAGCUAACAAAGACUUGAUAUCUCAAAAGUUGUGAAAGAACCGAUGGCAAUUCAGAGGGAGAAGAUUACGCGCUCUGGUGAAAGGAGAAAGAAUACAGAUGACGACUGGCAGAGUGAUUUCAGCUCCAACAUAGUGAAGAGAAAUGAGGUUCAAGUAGUGCCAAACAAU